AACUAACGCUGGCGGCGCGUCUUAAGCAUGCAAGUCGGACGGGAGUCUUGGGGGGUAACUCCUGAGGCGAGAGUGGCGAACGGGUGAGUAACACGUAGGUGAUCUGCCCUUGGGUGGGGAAUAGCCCAUGGAAACAUGGGGUAAUACCGCAUGAGGUCUUGGCCUUUUGGGGCUUUGAUGAAAGGAGCAAUUGCUCCGCCUGGGGAUGAGCCUGCGGUCCAUUAGCUAGUUGGUGAGGUAAGGGCCCACCAAGGCGACGAUGGAUAGCCGGCCUGAGAGGGUGAACGGCCACACUGGAACUGAGACACGGUCCAGACUCCUACGGGAGGCAG
rnacentral:rRNA from 1 species